GCCACCGGUAGCAGAGGUGCAGGCAAGGUUUCCUCCACACACAAAAAAAAGGUGCAGGCAAGGAACCCAAUCGGUGUGCGCGCCGGCGGCGGCACGGCCCGGAGGCGCCGGAGGCGAGUGUGCGAUUUAUCCGCCGGACACGGAAACCCUAGUGUGAAGGGUGAACAACUGCCUUUGGCUUGCUGAAACCAUUGAGGGAGAUGCUACGAAAACUCUAAUAACCUUGCAUAAGCAGCAUCACAUCAUGGACAUGACAAUUGAAGCAGCUGCAAACAUGAGACAGCAUGAACUUAGCAGGAGUUAGACGCUUCCACCAAACCUUGGAGGAUUCUUCCCAAGAUCCUGGAUGCCAAAGAAAACUAUAGGCAACUAAAGGGACCAACAAUUAUUCUCACAAAAAAGGACCAACAAUUACUUUAAUCGGUUUGCAUUUGCAUUGUGCUAGAACCAAGUUGACUUUCAGUGUGUUCUUUUACUAACAUUAUUACCAAAUGAAAAGAUGAUUCCUUGAAACGAAGGGCUAACCAGUCAGAACAGAGAUAACUUAGGAUUAUCUUCAAGCCCUGGAUGGAAGUCGAAUACUCGGAAGAAUUCUGAUUCUACCAAUGCCAUGGUGAAGGUUCAAGUUUGUGUUAAUGCUGGGAUUUAUGCAGCAUAAAAAACCAUUUUAUUUUCCGGGUGAAGAAAUAUAAGCAAGACGACGCCCUUCCUGAGCUUAUGGAUGUCCUGGGACAACUCUCGAUAAACAACGCUCAGAAAUUGAUAGGUAUGUGCUUCAUCAACGUCAGCUCACCAUAUCUUAUUUUAUUGGCCAACAGGGCAAGGAUUCAGCCCCAAAAAAUACCACACUCAAGAUAAAAGUAUCAAUUGUCAAGCACUACAUGAAUUAGCCGUGGAAUUGUUCAAUUCUUUCCUUGUUUGUUUA